GACAUCUGAACCGCCGUGAUAUCCUGGCCGCGGAACUGAAUGCCGGACCUGGCAUUUCAGAGGAGCAGCAUUUCUUCGUGAAAUUGUCACUGCCUCCGCGCCAGAAAUCCUGGAAGGAGAAGCUCUCCGUUAUAGAAGGACUCUUCUGGACAGGAGGUCAGCCGACCCGCACCCCGACACCUGAACACUUGUUCAUGGAGGCUGAUGAGCAGACGACCCCCAGCAGAACUUUGACCCACAACAGGCUGAAAAGUAACGUCCUUGUGGACCUGGGCACGGGCAAGGCGAAGCUCAUCGACUUCAGGUGCGGCACGAUCCUCCAGGACAUGUUCUACACCUAGAUGUCAGGAACGCCAUAGGAGUCCCAUAGGAGUGCAGCCCACCGGAGUGGAUCCUCUUCAGCUGCUGCCAUGGCCAGCCAGCCACCAUCUGAUCCCUGGGCAUUCUGCUCCAUGACCUGGUCUGCAGGCACUUUCAUUUCUACAGCAAUGAGGACAUCGUCAGGGGCUAGCUCUUCUUUCCACCCUGGGUGUCUCAAGACGAGGAUGCACCUUCUUACAAACGGUGGCCCUUUUCUACAGGAAACAAAAUUCAGCCCCCAGUGUUUCGAGCUCUCCUUCCUCUGAGCCCCACAUGCAGCAGAGAGAAGGAGAAUGGGGAAAAUGGCACCGGCAAUGAUGAUGACAGAAGAAAAAAAGAGGAGUUGAGUUCAGAGGAAAAAGGAUGUAAGGUAAGGAGACCAAGCUAAGUCCUGUGUGGUAGAUUUUUGGUUCAUGUGCUGUAGGUGUAGCUCUGAGAACUUUUCUUGUGGUGUGGGCCCAGGGAAGCAGCUGGCCAAGGACGAGCUCACUGUGCUUCAAGCUGUGUCCAGAGGGAAGGGAUGGCUGGUCCAUGGGGACAGCAGCCCAGAUCCCAGGCACACGAUUGCCUUUGCAGCAGGGCCAGGACGUGCAGUUGUUUUGGGUUUGCUCUGGCAUACAGGAGGAGGCAGAUGAACAACAGCUUUGGUAGACAGAAUGUCCAAUUAAAGGUUUGGGAACUUGAUUUCAGCCUUGCAGAGAAAGGGCCCAAUGUAUACAGGAACUGACCCUUUCAGUGUACUUUGAACAGGUCCUGAUUUGGCUCUCUAGCUGGGCCAGAAAUGAUGGGAUACUAAGC